UAUGUGAUCGUCUCUCGCAUAUCAAUAAGCGGAGGAAAAGAAACUAACAAGGAUUCCCCUAGUAACGGCGAGUGAAGCGGGAAGAGCUCAAAUUUGAAAUCUUAAAGGGUUUCCCUUUACGAAUUGUAGUUUAAAGAAGUGUUUUCUGUUGAGGUUUUGGUAAAAGUUCUUUGGAAUAGGACAUCAUAGAGGGUGAGAAUCCCGUAUUUGACCUUUACUUUCAACUUUGUGAUACACUUUCAAAGAGUCGGAUUGUUUGGGAAUGCAGUCCAAAAUGGGUGGUAAAUUUCAUCUAAAGCUAAAUAUUGGCGAGAGACCGAUAGCGAACAAGUACCGUGAGGGAAAGAUGAAAAGAACUUUGAAAAGAGAGUUAAACAGUACGUGAAAUUGUCAAAAGGGAAGCGUUUGACACCAGUGUUGUUUUUCUGAAAAUCAAUUAAAGAACUGUUUAUGCUAAGUUGUUUAGACUUUAUCAGCUAUCUGCUUAGUUUUGAGCUUUUCUUUAAUGCACUUUUCAGUUAACAAGUCAACAUCAAUUUCUUUUGCUGUGAAAAAAGCUUGAGGAAGGUGGCUUGAGAUUCGUCUUAAGUGUUUAUAGCCUCUUGCCUAUGCAGUCGGAGAGAUUGAGGUCUGCAGCGUAGAUCCUUCGGGGCUAAAUAGCAUUUGUGCUAAGUUAUAACAUUUUAUAGACAACUUGUUGACUAUGAUUUGUCUUGUAGCUUACUCGCUUAUGUUAUUUUACCUACGCUUAGGAUGUUGACACACGCGCGUGCUCG
rnacentral:rRNA from 1 species